UAGGGAAUAUUAGUAAUGGGCGAAAGCCUGAACUAGCAACGCCGCGUGUGCGAGGAAGGCCCUCGGGUUGUAAAGCACUUUUUGAGAGGAUGAGGAAGGACGGUACUCUCAGAAUAAGUCUCGGCUAACUACGUGCCAGCAGCCGCGGUAACACGUAGGAGGCAAACGUUAUCCGGAUUUACUGGGCGUAAAGCGCGUGUAGGUGGUUUGGUAAGUAGGGCGUGAAAGCUCCUGGCUCAACUGGGAGAGGCCGUUCUAAACUGCCGAACUAGAGGAUGGUAGAGGGAGGUGGAAUUCCGGGUGUAGCGGUGGAAUGCGCAGAUAUCCGGAGGAACACCAGUGGCGAAAGCGGCCUCCUGGACCAUUCCUGACACUCAGACGCGAAAGCUAGGGUAGCAAACGG
rnacentral:rRNA from 1 species